GGAAGUCAGGCAGCAACAUUGCUUGGCUGAAGGGCUGCUGUGAAUGACCUGGAGCAAGUGGAUGAAGUGUGCUCAAGAGCAACGUUUCCCAGGAGAUCAACAAUAUAGACUUAUCCGUGUAGUAUUUCCUCUGACUUCCAUAGGACUGCAUGUGUGAAUGAAGACAACCAAUUCUUAUACCCUGAAAGAACUUUCCCUCCUUAAUCAACAAGAGCCAAAAAGAACCUGGCAGACAGUCUUCAGCUGUUACAUGAUCUUUAGCAGAAUGUCAUUAGGUUUUGAAGAAUGCCAGCAGUGUGUUCAGUGCUCAGUGGACUGUGAGGGAAAUUGCUCUGUUUGCCCUAUGUGUGUUGCAAUCUAAACAUACAGAUGAUUAGAAAAGAGACCCAUCCCAAAAAUACAGUUUUGAAACCCAAAAGCAGUAUUAAAGCACAGAUCAGUGUACAGGCGUUUCACUGUAACGAUAAAAUUAUAACACUGCUUCUUACCUUGCUGAGUGGAAGCUGACAGGCUUCUCAUAAGAUAAAUAUUUUAA